UACAGAGGGUGCUAGCGUUGUUCGGAAUCAUUGGGCGUAAAGGGCGUGUAGGCGGUUUGUUAAGUCAUGUGUGAAAUCCCUCGGCUCAACCGGGGAACGACGCAUGAAACUGGCAAGCUAGAGUACCAAAGAGGGGGUGGAAUUCCCGGUGUAGCGGUGAAAUGCGUAGAUAUCAGGAGGAACACCAAUUGCGAAGGCAGCUCGCUGGGACGUUACUGACGCUGAGACACGAAAGCGUGGGGAGCAAACAGG
rnacentral:rRNA from 1 species